GUGCUUGCUUUGGCAGCACAUACACUAAAAUUGGAACGAUACAGAGAAGAGUAGCGUGGCCCCUGCAUAAGGAUGACACGCAAAUUUGUGAAGUGUUCUGUAUUUUU
rnacentral:snRNA from 1 species